rnacentral:rRNA from 1 species
UACGUAGGGUGCAAGCGUUGUCCGGAAUUAUUGGGCGUAAAGAGCUCGUAGGCGGUCUGUCGCGUCUGCUGUGAAAACUCAGGGCUUAACCCUGAGCUUGCAGUGGGUACGGGCAGACUAGAGUGCGGUAGGGGAGACUGGAAUUCCUGGUGUAGCGGUGAAAUGCGCAGAUAUCAGGAGGAACACCGGUGGCGAAGGCGAGUCUCUGGGCCGUAACUGACGCUGGAGGAAGCGAAAGCAUGGGGAGCGAACAGG